UUUGUGAAGAAGAUUAUGUCCACAUUAUGCAUGAAAUAUUGAAACAAGCAAACUGACUUCUGAUUUGAUACUAAAAUUGAUGUUAUGUAUAUCUUUUUUUUUCAGAUUUGAGUACAGGCAUGGAAGAGGAGCAUAAAGAACACGGGUCACAGGGAGGAAAUAGGAGGUGGACAGGCAGGAGCAUCUGUGGAGAACAGGAAGGGAGAGUGAGCAGUGGAAGAAACUGAGGCCAGAGUUGAGUAAUGGGCACAAGGUCACACAGUCAGUGAAGCGGACCUCGCCUGAGAUGAGGACCUCUGCACACGAGUCAACUUCUUGUCAUGGCAUCAAAACCCAAGAGGAGUGCAUGCUAUCUUUUCAAAUUAAAGUUCCUGCCAGAUAUAUGCCCGGGAGUCGGAUUGCUGGAUCAUAUGUGAGUUCCCUCUGGACAUAUGCCCAGGAAUGGGAUUGCUGGAUUGUAAGG